rnacentral:miRNA from 1 species
ACGCUUUACGAGAUAACCAA